rnacentral:rRNA from 1 species
GAUGAACGCUGGCGGCGUGCCUAAUACAUGCAAGUCGAGCGAAUGGAUUAAGAGCUUGCUCUUAUGAAGUUAGCGGCGGACGGGUGAGUAACACGUGGGUAACCUGCCCAUAAGACUGGGAUAACUCCGGGAAACCGGGGCUAAUACCGGAUAAUAUUUUGAACUGCAUGGUUCAAAAUUGAAAGGCGGCUUCGGCUGUCACUUAUGGAUGGACCCGCGUCGCAUUAGCUAGUUGGUGAGGUAACGGCUCACCAAGGCAACGAUGCGUAGCCGACCUGGGAGGGUGAUCGGCCACACUGGGACUGAGACACGGCCCAGACUCCUACGGGAGGCAGCAGUAGGGAAUCUUCCGCAAUGGACGAGAGUCUGACGGAGCAACGCCGCGUGAGUGAGGAAGGCUUUCGGGUCGUAAAACUCUGUUGUUAGGGAAGAACAAGUGCUAGUUGAAUAAGCUGGCACCUUGACGGUACCUAACCAGAAAGCCACGGCUAACUACGUGCCAGCCGCCGCCGUAA